AGGAGGAUCACCUCAUAGUCUUAUUUAUUUGUAUUAAAUACUAUAUAGCAUACAAUAGACUACUUAAAAAAUAAGUGUCUAUGAAUGUGUCUUAUGGCAAUAUCUUUGCAGCCGUUGGCCAGAAAAGAGGUAAGUAGGUGCUGGGUUACUAUAAUUUUCUCAGAAUUUGGGUAGAAUACGGCCUUCACAUACCUAACCUCCUUUAUCUUUUCAGGCAUUAGGGACUGGCUUUUUUAAAAUAUAAAGCUGAACAUUCAGAGAAGAGGCACAGAAUAUCCACAGCCCGCCCCAAGCAUGCAUCCACCCCC